GCCUGCAGCUAGCUGUCUGCCACUCUCACAUGGUCGCCAACUGAAGCUAAGCAGGGCUGUGCCUGGUCAAUACCUGGAUGGAAGACUACAUGGUAAAGCUAGGUUGCUGCCGGAA
ensembl:rRNA 5S_rRNA 5S ribosomal RNA